rnacentral:lncRNA from 1 species
GUUCCUUCAGAUUUUUAUUUUGGUAAAGACUAAGCAAUCGAUUUUUAAGAAUAUAAUGUUAUGUUGUUUUAUGUCAGAUAUAAAUCAUGAGAGCAAUCAAGUGGUCAGUUACUCGAAUUUAGUUAAAAUUGUUAUAUAAUACAUUUAUAUGCGAAAUGCAUGACAUGUUACAUUUUGUUUCAUUUAUAAGUAUUAAAAUUUGAUCUUUUUUUUGUAUACAAAUAAUUUAUUUAUUAAUUCAUUUUUAAAAUUAAAAAAAAUAUUUUUAAACUAUGGUUUUAGUAGAGAGGAGGAAAUAUAGUAAAA